UUUUUUUAGGUUAAAUUAAAAGUAAAUUCUGCCCUAUGAUUUUUUUUAAUUAAAUGGCUGCAGUAUUUUGACUGUGCAAAGGUAGCAUAAUCAUUAGUCAUUUAAUUGUUGACUUGUAUGAAUGGAUAAAUGAGGGAUUAAUUUUUUUAAUUUUAUUAUUAAAAUUUUAUUUUUAAGUAAAAAAGCUUUAAUUAAUUUUUUGGGACGAUAAGACCCUACAGAACUUUAUUAUAUACUUUAUAUUAAUUACUUUUAGUUUUAUUUGUGUUAAUAUUUUUUUAUAUUUUUUUGUUGGGGUGACAAAUAAAUUUAUAACUUUAUUUUAUUAAAUCAUUAAUUUUUGACUAUUUUGAUCCACUUUUAUAGAUUAUAAGGUUAAGUUACCUUAGGGAUAACAGCGUAAUUUUAAUGGGGAGUUCAUAUUUAUAUUAAAGUUUGCGACCUCGAUGUUGAAUUAAGAUAAGUUUGAGGGGUAGGUUUUUCAUUUCUAAGUCUGUUCGACUUUUAAAUUCUU
rnacentral:rRNA from 1 species